GACAUGAAUUGUUGUUGGAUUGAAAUUGAGUUUGUUCAUGCUUUGAAUGAGUUUGGAAUGAUUUUUGGCUUAAAAUUCGAAGUGGAAGAAGACCCCUCGCCGCGGCCACGGUUGGGCUCACCGCGGCGAGGCCCUAUUUUCCCCAGAAAUUUUUUUAUUUUUAUUUUUGCCAUAAUUUUUUACUCGGGACUCCAUUUGGGAUGUUCUUUAUAUCGUUGGAAAGCUCGUUUUGAGCUUUAUAUGCCUAUCUGUAAUUGAAAUGUAAAUUAUGUGAAAUUAAAUUUUGAGAUAAACCCUAUUUGUGAAAUCCCAAGAAUUGUGACUAGAAUUACCGGGGCUUGCUCAGGAACACCUGAAGGUUUGGAAUCUCCACAUACUUGGGAUACCAUGAAAGGGUAAAUCAGUUUGUGAUCAGCCAUGAGUUCGAGGACUUGGCGGUGGAUUGUACAUGUUCAGACCAUACUAGACCACGAGGGUUGGGUAUACCAGUUGAUGUAUUUUAUAUUCUCAGUUUUGUCGCUUAGAUUGGUAUGUAAAAAUGACUUGUAAUAUUUUGUGAAAAUUUUUAUGGGAUCCUGAAACGUGAAAAAUCUUUUUGGAAUGUUUUGUAAAGUUCAAAUAGUUACAAGUUAUGUAUUUUCAUUCCAUAAAUAAUUUAAAGUUUAAAUUCUA